GAUGAAGAACGCAGCGAAAUGCGAUACGUAAUGUGAAUUGCAAAUUCAGUGAAUCAUCGAGUCUUUGAACGCAAAUUGCGCCCCCUGGUAUUCCGGGGGGCAUGCCUGUCCGAGCGUCAUUGCUGCCCUCAAGCACGGCUUGUGUGUUGGGCCCCGUCCUCCGAUCCCGGGGGACGGGCCCGAAAGGCAGCGGCGGCACCGCGUCCGGUCCUCGAGCGUAUGGGGCUUUGUCACCCGCUCUGUAGGCCCGGCCGGCGCUUGCCGAUCAACCCAAAUUUUUUAUCCAGGUUGACCUCGGAUCAGGUAGGGAUACCCGCUGAACUUAAGCAUAUCAAUAAGCGGAGGA
rnacentral:misc_RNA from 1 species